rnacentral:rRNA from 1 species
GGAUUAGAUACCCUGGUAGUCCACGCCGUAAACGUUGAAUGCUAGGUGUCGGGGGUUUCACCCCCUCGGUGCCGGAGUUAACGCAUUAAGCAUUCCGCCUGGGGAGUACGGUCGCAAGAUUAAAACUCAAAGGAAUUGACGGGGGCCCGCACAAGCGGUGGAGUAUGUGGUUUAAUUCGACGCAACGCGCAGAACCUUACCCGGCCUUGACAUCCUUGGAAUCCUUCCGAAAAGAAGGAGUGUCCCCUCACGGGGAAGCCAAGUGACAGGUGCUGCAUGGCUGUCGUCAGCUCGUGCCG